GUAAUACGGAGGAUCCAAGCGUUAUCCGGAAUCAUUGGGUUUAAAGGGUCCGUAGGCGGUUUGAUAAGUCAGUGGUGAAAGCCCAUCGCUCAACGAUGGAACGGCCAUUGAUACUGUCAGACUUGAAUUACUAGGAAGUAACUAGAAUAUGUAGUGUAGCGGUGAAAUGCUUAGAUAUUACAUGGAAUACCAAUUGCGAAGGCAGGUUACUACUAGUGGAUUGACGCUGAUGGACGAAAGCGUGGGGAGCGAACAGGAUUAGAUACCCUGGUAGUCCACGCCGUAAACGAUGGAUACUAGCUGUUGGGCGUAAGUUCAGUGGCUAAGCGAAAGUGAUAAGUAUCCCACCUGGGGAGUACGAACGCAAGUUUGAAACUCA
rnacentral:rRNA from 1 species